AAUGUUUUCCCCCAGGUUUGCCCCGCUGCUUCUCAGAGCAGGUUUCGAAUGGGGCUACCAAUAACUCCUGACCCUCUUCUUUUGUCAUGCAUGUUGCCCCACUGAUCUAUAAGAGGAAAUAGAACAUUUUCCUCUCCACGUGACAAAGUCUUUCAUCAAGAGAUCCAUUAGCUAGCAGGCGUCUGUCUGUCUCACAGCAUCACCUAUUCAUUACUGAAGAAAGGCACAAGAUGUCCCACCACAUAGUUGGGAUGCUUCUAGUCUAUAUGCACAUGACUGCCUCAGAAGAAUGGAUACAAAUCCAGCAAAGCCCAGCACAGCUGCAGCGGACCCCUGGACAGACUGCACAGCUGGACUGUCACUCUUCUAAAGUAAAAGGAAGGAUUAUGUGGUACAAGGAACAACAGAGUGGAAGUUUGAAAUGGAUUUACCAGAGUUUUGAGUCUGCACCUCCCGAUGGAAAAUACUCGAGUUAUGUGAGCACUGCGGCAAACACGUUUUCUCUGAUAAUCAAUAACCUGCAAAGAGACGACUCAGGGGUUUAUUACUGUGGCUUCUCUGCCUUUCUGUAUCUACAGCCCAACUUCGGGAAUGGGACCAGACUAAUUGUCACAGGAGACUGUAGGAUUGUGUUCUAUGCUGGGCUGCCCUGUAUUUUCAUCCUUCUCCUCAUCCAGCUGUUGAUCUUGCUUUGGAGGAAGUGCCCCAUCAGAGGGAGAGCUGUGCAAAGAGGGAAUCCAAUACCUAUGAGGCAGAUCCCACAGACUGAAUAUGCGACUCUGACUUACAACAGAAAUGCUUCUCGGUGACUGAUGCAGUCUCACAAAAGUGGUUUAUAUUUUUUAAAACAAGAGAUGCAAAAAGCAAGAACGAAAGCGAGAGAAUUACGGAAAGUCUCAUGUUUGUAAUGAGCUGUGAUGUGCUGUGCGUUUGCUUGAAAUACAGUCACUUCCUCGGUCA